GAUGAACGCUGGCGGCGUGCCUAAUACAUGCAAGUCGAGCGAACAGACGAGGAGCUUGCUCCUCUGACGUUAGCGGCGGACGGGUGAGUAACACGUGGAUAACCUACCUAUAAGACUGGGAUAACUUCGGGAAACCGGAGCUAAUACCGGAUAAUAUAUUGAACCGCAUGGUUCAAUAGUGAAAGACGGUUUUGCUGUCACUUAUAGAUGGAUCCGCGCCGCAUUAGCUAGUUGGUAAGGUAACGGCUUACCAAGGCAACGAUGCGUAGCCGACCUGAGAGGGUGAUCGGCCACACUGGAACUGAGACACGGUCCAGACUCCUACGGGAGGCAGCAGUAGGGAAUCUUCCGCAAUGGGCGAAAGCUUGACGGAGCAACGCCGCGUGAGUGAUGAAGGUCUUCGGAUCGUAAAACUCUGUCAUUAGGGAAGAACAAAUGUGUAAGUAACUAUGCACGUCUUGACGGUACCUAAUCAGAGAGCCACGGCUAACUACGUG
rnacentral:rRNA from 1 species